UGAACGCUGGCGGCGUGCUUAACACAUGCAAGUCGAACGGUGAACACGGAGCUUGCUCUGUGGGAUCAGUGGCGAACGGGUGAGUAACACGUGAGCAACCUGCCCCUGACUCUGGGAUAAGCGCUGGAAACGGCGUCUAAUACUGGAUAUGUGACGUGACCGCAUGGUCUGCGUCUGGAAAGAAUUUCGGUUGGGGAUGGGCUCGCGGCCUAUCAGCUUGUUGGUGAGGUAAUGGCUCACCAAGGCGUCGACGGGUAGCCGGCCUGAGAGGGCGACCGGCCACACUGGGACUGAGACACGGCCCAGACUCCUACGGGAGGCAGCAGUGGGGAAUAUUGGGCAAUGGGCGCAAGCCUGACCCAGCGACGCCGCGUGAGGGAUGAAGGCCUUCGGUUGUAAACCUCUUUCAGUAGGAAGAAGCGAAAGUGACGGUACCUAAAGAAGAAGCACCGGCUAACUAUGCGCCAGCA
rnacentral:rRNA from 1 species